rnacentral:lncRNA from 1 species
GCAGGAUCAGAGCAUGAGGAGGAGGGGGCUCUAAAAGCCGCCUUCCCCCACUCUAAACUGCGCGCAGCCCCGGGGGAAAGGAAGCUGUGUGGAUCCCACCCCCACCAUGCAGGCUGGAGGGUUUGGGGUUCGGGUAUAAGUGGGGGUGCGAGGACAGGCUCGGGGAGCGCCGGUUUUCUCGGAUGCAGAUUAGCCGCCUGGAGGCGAAGGCUUUUCUGUUUGGCUUCCCUGGAAGCAGCCAAGCUCUAUAAAAGGAAAAUGAGAAGCCAUCACAGCUGGGGCCGCUCCAGGCCUUUCUGCAAAAGACUAGCCUGGCCAGAAUCCAAACCGCAAGCCUCAGCGGGCAGCCCGGGGAAGGGGGCCCGGCCUCCCAGCCCCCCUCACUCUCCGCCCAGCCGGCCCGGGAGGUCCUGCUGCUGCCCUCCGGAGCCAACGGGGGAGAUGGAGAAAGGUGUGUGUAUGUGUGUGUGGGAGGGGUGCACUCAGGCGCUGCUGCUGUCUGAUUAGUAACCAGGAGAGGGGAGGAGGGGACAGACUUCAGAGGGAGAUUGU